UACGUAGGUGGCAAGCGUUAUCCGGAUUUACUGGGUGUAAAGGGCGUGUAGGCGGGGACGCAAGUCAGAUGUGAAAACCACGGGCUCAACCUGUGGCCUGCAUUUGAAACUGUGUUUCUUGAGUACUGGAGAGGCAGACGGAAUUCCUAGUGUAGCGAUGAAAUGCGUAGAUAUUAGGAGGAACACCAGUGGCGAAGGCGGCCUACUGGACGGUGACUGACGCUGAGGCUCGAAAGCGUGGGGAGCAAACAGG
rnacentral:rRNA from 1 species